CAAAAUAAGAUAUUUUAAAGAAUGUUCCAGGUAACCUUUGACUUCAUUUGUAUAGACAAAAUGUAUAGACAUUUUUCAAAAUAUAUUUUUAUGUUCCACAGAAGAAAAAAAUUCAUACAGGUUUGGAACGGCAUGAAGGUGUGGUGGAGUAUCUAAGUAAUGGUGGAGUUGCAGAAAAUCACAAAGACUUUAAGGAACUGCGUUACAGUGAUUGUUUAAACCAACUUCAGUUGCAACGGCAAAAACGGCAAGCCCGAUGGCAGCAUCACACACAGUUUCCAGCUGAAGAGUGCCUACGAGGGGAAUUCUCAUGCCCUACACCAACUACACUUAUGAAUUCAAGGGCGUGAUUGACUACAUCUUCUUCUCUAGGACACACAUGCGUGUUCUGGGCGUUCUGGGUCCACUGGAGACUCAGUGGCUGAAGGACAACAACA